rnacentral:lncRNA from 1 species
AAUACUCCAGCCGUUAUUGGGCCUGUAGCUCUCAGCCCACCAUGAGGAAUACAGGGAAGCUGAAAACUUGUCCAGGCUGCCAAGACAAUAUACUCAUAAAGGGCCAUGUCCUACCCGCCUGCACAGCUCUCCCCUCUCCAGCCAUGUGUCCUGCAGGAUGCCUCAUACAAGUGUUCUUGGAAAGGGACGGAAGAAGAUGGCAAGCUUUUUUGAAUUAAGAGGGAUCUGCUCCUUAAGAAAGAUUGGGUACAAAAAAAUCCAUGCUCUCUCUUUUUGGAAAAGGUAGUAAACUUAUAUUUAUUAAAGGUCAGAAAAGAAACAUAUUCUGCAGAGUGACUUUGGAUCAAUUAAAACUGGAAAAGAA